AACGAACGCUGGCGGCAGGCUUAACACAUGCAAGUCGAACGGAUCCUUCGGGAUUAGUGGCAGACGGGUGAGUAACGCGUGGGAACGUACCCUUUGCUACGGAAUAACUCAGGGAAACUUGAGCUAAUACCGUAUGUGCCCUACGGGGGAAAGAUUUAUCGGCAAAGGAUCGGCCCGCGUUGGAUUAGCUAGUUGGUGGGGUAAUGGCCUACCAAGGCGACGAUCCAUAGCUGGUCUGAGAGGAUGAUCAGCCACACUGGGACUGAGACACGGCCCAGACUCCUACGGGAGGCAGCAGUGGGGAAUAUUGGACAAUGGGCGCAAGCCUGAUCCAGCCAUGCCGCGGGAGUGAUGAAGGUCUUAGGAUUGUAAAGCUCUUUCACCGGUGAAGAUAAUGACGGUAGCCGGAGAAGAAGCCCCGGCUAACUUCGU
rnacentral:rRNA from 1 species